rnacentral:rRNA from 1 species
UACAGAGGUCUCAAGCGUUUGUUCGGAUUCAUUGGGCGUAAAGGGUGCGUAGGUGGCGGGGCAAGUUUGGUGUGAAAUCCCGGGGCUCAACCCCGGAACUGCACUGAAUACUGCCUUGCUUGAGCACUGGAGAGGGAACUGGAAUUUACGGUGUAGCAGUGAAAUGCGUAGAUAUCGUAAGGAAGACCAGUGGCGAAGGCGAGUUCCUGGACAGUUGCUGACACUGAGGCACGAAGGCUAGGGGAGCAAACGGG